UCUCCUGGAAAACGGGUGGUAAUGCCGGAUGCUCCAGUUGAUCGCAUGGUCUUCUGGGAAAGCUUUCGCGGUAUGGGAUGGGGUCGCGUCCUAUCAGCUUGACGGCGGGGUAACGGCCCACCGUGGCUUCGACGGGUAGCCGGCCUGAGAGGGCGACCGGCCACAUUGGGACUGAGAUACGGCCCAGACUCCUACGGGAGGCAGCAGUGGGGAAUAUUGCACAAUGGGCGCAAGCCUGAUGCAGCGACGCCGCGUGAGGGAUGGAGGCCUUCGGGUUGUAAACCUCUUUUAUCGGGGAGCAAGCGUGAGUGAGUUUACCCGUUGAAUAAGCACCGGCUAACUACGUGCCAGCAGCCGCGGUAAUACGUAGGGUGCAAGCGUUAUCCGGAAUUAUUGGGCGUAAAGGGCUCGUAGGCGGUUCGUCGCGUCCGGUGUGAAAGUCCAUCGCUUAACGGUGGAUCCGCGCCGGGUACGGGCGGGCUUGAGUGCGGUAGGGGAGACUGGAAUUCCCGGUGUAACGGUGGAAUGUGUAGAUAUCG
rnacentral:rRNA from 1 species